rnacentral:rRNA from 1 species
CGAACGGGACUCUUCGGAGUUUAGUGGCGGACGGGUGAGUAACGCGUGAGAAUCUGCCCUUAGGUUGGGGACAACAGUUGGAAACGACUGCUAAUACCCAAUGUGCCGAGAGGUGAAAGGUUAACUGCCUGGGGAUGAGCUCGCGUCUGAUUAGCUAGUUGGAGUGGUAACGGCACACCAAGGCGACGAUCAGUAGCUGGUCUGAGAGGAUGAUCAGCCACACUGGGACUGAGACACGGCCCAGACUCCUACGGGAGGCAGCAGUGGGGAAUUUUCCGCAAUGGGCGAAAGCCUGACGGAGCAAGACCGCGUGAGGGAGGAAGGCCUAUUGGUUGUAAACCUCUUUUGAUAGGGAAGAACACAAUGACGGUACCUAUCGAAUCAGCAUCGGCUAACUCCGUGCCAGCAGCCGCGGUAAUACGGAGGAUGCAAGCGUUAUCCGGAUUUAUUGGGCGUAAAGCGUCCGUAGGUGGCAAACCAAGUCAGUUGUUAAAGCGUAGAGCUUAACUCUAUAAGGGCAAUUGAAACUGGUUAGCUAGAGUGCGAUAGGGGCAAGGGGAAUUCCCAGUGUAGCGGUGAAAUACGUAGAUAUUGGGAAGAACAUCGGUGGCGAAGGCGCCUUGCUGGGUCUGCACUGACACUGAGGGACGAAAGCUAGGGGAGCGAAAGGGAUUAGGUACCCCUGUAGUCCUAGCCGUAAACGAUGGAUACUAGGCGUUGUCCGUAUCGACCCGAGCCGUGCCGAAG